rnacentral:RNase_P_RNA from 1 species
AAAGUUUAACAGACAAUCGCCGGUAGCCGAAAGGCUGCGGGAGGAAAGUCCGGGCUCCGUAGGGCAGGGUGCUGGAUAACAUCCAGUCAGUGCAAACUGAAGGAUAGUGCCACAGAAAUGGACCGCCGAUGGCUCGCAAGAGUACAGGCAAGGAUGGAACCGAGGUGUAAGAGACCCCGAGGAACACUGGUGACUUUGUUCCUGGUAAACCCCAUCUGGAGCAAGACCUAAAGAGAUACAGCUUUUUUUCGGAAAAGCAGCCUUAGCCCGAGGUGUAUCGAGGUUGGUCGCUGGAGCCAAAUAGUAAUGUUUGGCCUAGAUAGAUGAUUGUCACCAAAAGUGGGAGGGUAGUUCCCGAUCGAACCACAACUGGUACAGAACCCGGCUUAUGAGAAACUUUCCCA